CAAAAGUAUUAUUUGUUAUUUCCACUGAAAACCACCUUGCCCUAGCUAACUAAGAAGCCUUUUGAAGAUACAGUCUGACAGUGCUGUGAAACAGGUCUCUGCUGCUUCCGCAUGACUUGCAUUUGGCAAGAGGGAAGAAGCUCCUUGGAACUGCCCAGAAAACAACCUCAAAGGAUGUCAGGGGAGCUGGGCAGUAUCCUAGACCCUUUCCUUGGGUUUCUACCCCUGCAGCCUACAGAAGAGCUCCUGAGGAAGGAGAGGAAUGUCUUGAUAAGAGGGUGAUGGGGAAGCAAGAGGAACCUGUCUGGCUCCCACUCCCUGCUCCUUUCAUGCACUCAGCUGUGUAUGAGAGGAGAGCUAGGGCAGUCCUGCCUCCUGGUUCAAGGGGCACAGAGUAUCAUCCGACAGGAGCACACAGCCCCCCUUUCCCUUAGUGGGUGGUUGGGUUUUUCAGGAUCAGGGAUGAUUAUUCUAUUUAUUUUGCCCCUGUCAAAAAAGGAAACGGGUCGACUUCUGCCAAGUAAUUUUACACCUAAGUAUUUCCUUCUGUUUGUCUUAAAAACAGCUUAGUAUGGAUGUUACCUCCAGGUCGUGGGGUCACUGGGGGAUUGGCAGAGGCUUUUCUGGGUUUCUCGGAGCACAACACACUCCUGGAAGCCUGUUCCUAAUUGUCUGGUGCAGAUGAGGGAAUACGGAGCCAAUUUGAGAAACGCAGCACCACGGAGUGGGGUUUGUCCCUUUGACAAGGAUGCGAGACGUGCUGGAAGAGAGUGUGCAUCACUUGCUGCAGUGAUUCACUUUGCACAACUCGCCAAGAAGCCCUGUUUGCCACAAGCAUGUUCAUUGAUCAGCCCUUGCAGGGAAAAGCACUUGCUGACAUCCCCCAUCAAGAGAUCUUCCAGCUCAUG